rnacentral:rRNA from 1 species
CAUGAGUGGCGGACGGGUGAGUAACGCGUGGGCAACCUGCCCUGUACAGGGGGACAACACUUAGAAAUAGGUGCUAAUACCGCAUAACGGGGGGAGCCGCAUGGCACCCCCCUGAAAACUCCGGUGGUACAGGAUGGGCCCGCGUCUGAUUAGCUGGUUGGCAGGGUAACGGCCUACCAAGGCGACGAUCAGUAGCCGGCCUGAGGGGGCGGACGGCCACACUGGGACUGAGACACGGCCCAGACUCCUACGGAAGGCAGCAG